rnacentral:rRNA from 1 species
AGUGGCGGACGGGUGAGUAACACGUAAGAAUUUGCCUUUAGGAGGGGGACAACAACUAGAAAUGGUUGCUAAUACCCCAUAUGCUUUCGAGUGAAAUGGAUUUUUCCGCCUAGAGAGAAGCUUGCGGCUGAUUAGCUUGUUGGUGAGGUAAUGGCUCACCAAGGCGACGAUCAGUAUCUGGUUUGAGAGGACGAUCAGACACACUGGAACUGAGACACGGUCCAGACUCCUACGGGAGGCAGCAGUGGGGAAUUUUCCGCAAUGGGCGAAAGCCUGACGGAGCAAUACCGCGUGAGGGAUGACGGCCUAUGGGUUGUAAACCUCUUUUUUCAGGGAGGAAUCAAUGACGUGUACCUGAAGAAUAAGCAUCGGCUAACUCCGUGCCAGCAGCCGCGGUAAGACGGGGGAUGCAAGUGUUAUCCGGAAUCACUGGGCGUAAAGCGUCUGUAGGUGGUCCAAUAAGUCAACUGUUAAAUCUUGAGGCUCAACCUCAAAAUCGCAGUCGAAACUAUUAGACUAGAGUAUAGUGGGGGUAAAGGGAAUUUCCAGUGGAGCGGUGAAAUGCGUAGAGAUUGGAAAGAACACCGAUGGCGAAGGCACUUUACUGGGCUAUUACUAACACUCAGAGACGAAAGCUAGGGUAGCAAAUGGGAUUAGAUACCCCAGUAGUCCUAGCCGUAAACAAUGGAUACUAGAUGUU